rnacentral:rRNA from 1 species
CAGUCGCCGCGGUAAUACGAAGGGUGCAAGCGUUAAUCGGAAUUACUGGGCGUAAAGCGUGCGUAGGCGGUUUGUUAAGUCUGCUGUGAAAUCCCCGGGCUCAACCUGGGAAUGGCAGUGGAUACUGGCAAGCUAGAGUGUGUCAGAGGAUGGUGGAAUUCCCGGUGUAGCGGUGAAAUGCGUAGAGAUCGGGAGGAACAUCAGUGGCGAAGGCGGCCAUCUGGGACAACACUGACGCUGAGGCACGAAAGCGUGGGGAGCAAACAGGAUUAGAGACCCGCGUAGUCCCUGUCUCUUAUAU